AACGCACCUUGCGCCUUUUGGUAUUCCGAAAGGCAUGCCUGUUUGAGUGUCAUGAAAUCUCAAUCCCCUCGGGUUUUUUGACCCGGGUGGGGCUUGGACUUGGGCGUCUGCCGGUAACACGGCUCGCCUCAAAUGACUUAGUGGAUCUCUCUGCAUCCGUGUCAGACGUAAUAAGUUUCGUCUCGACCCUUGCUUCUGAGUCUGCUCACAACCCGCCAUCGCGCACUUUAGACUCUGACCUCAAAUCAGGUAGGACUACCCGCUGAACUUAA
rnacentral:misc_RNA from 1 species